rnacentral:sRNA from 1 species
UCAAGCCACUUGGAGUACGCGUCUACUA